rnacentral:rRNA from 1 species
AUAAAUCAUUCAAGUUUCUGACCUAUCAGCUUUCGACGGUAUGGUAUUGGCUUACCGUGGCAGUGACGGUUAACGGGGGAUUAGGGUUCGAUUCCGGAGAGGGAGCCUGAGAAACGGCUACCACAUCUAAGGAAGGCAGCAGGCGCGCAAAUUACCCAAUUCUAACAGUUUGAGAGAGGUAGUAACAAGAAAUAACAAUACAAGGCAAUUAAAAUGCUUUGUAAUUGGAAUGAUAGAAAUUUAAACCCUUUUUAAAGUAUCAAUUGGAGGGCAAGUCUGGUGCCAGCAGCCGCGGUAAUUCCAGCUCCAAUAGCGUAUAUUAAAAUUGUUGCAGUUAAAAAGCUCGUAGUUGAAGUUCUGCUAAAAGUAACCGGUCUGCUUUUAAUAAAAGUGGUAUCUUGGUGUGUAUUUAGCAAUGAUGUCCUUUGAAGUGUUUUUUACUUUAUUGUAAUAAAGCAUAUUCAGGACUUUUACUUUGAGAAAAUUAGAGUGUUUCUAGCAGGCCGACGCUUUGAAUACU